rnacentral:lncRNA from 1 species
AUGGAGAAGGAUCACUGUGAAGACAGGAAGGCUGGGAGCCGCAGUGCGAAGCCGGAGCUGAGCGCCGAGAAUCCCACAAGGAAGCUGGGAAGGCGCUGGGCCCAGCCAGGAGAAUUCUCGGGUGGUGCACUUGGCCGUGCAAGCCAGCCUCGCAGGUGCCUGCCAGAAUGGCAUCAGCGUGGUGGGCCCUCACCUUCACAGCAAAUGCCCCAGCCCUGCCCUCCAGUCUCGCCGAGUCGUCAUCAGGUCUGCACGAAGGUUUCCUGCUUGCCCUUCCUUCUCCUGCUCUGGGUCUCAUUGUCCCCGCCAGUGAAAGCAAAUGUCCCACAGGCUGCCUGGUAGCUGUCCUGGAGGCGUCCCUCCUCCAAUUCUGCCACCUAGGACGACAGUGGUCUAUGCGGUGUACUGAGCUGCUCCAAAGCAGGGGUCAGACCUUCCAGGCCCUGCUGCAAAGCUGUCAAGGUGCCUCCCUGCUCGCAGGAUGAAGUCCCGGCUCCUGACUGUCUGCUCCUCGCCAGGCCCCUCCAGCUGCCUGAGGGUCCAGCCAAAGCUAACACAGCUGUCCUACCUGCAAACCUUGCUCGCUCUUUGCCGUCCCCCUGCCCACUGCUGCCUUGCACAACCCCAGGAGACUUCUUAUCAGCAAAGGCAGUGUGGCCAGCACCCGCUGGAGCUCCUCCGUGUACAACCUAUCCAACUAUACAUGGCCUGUGGGGUCAGGCACCCCACACAGCCACUCCCCUCCGUCCACAGAGGCUUUUCUCAACAGCAGCACGAGUGACAUUUAGUUCAGACCAUUCUUUGCUGCGGGGAAUUGUCCUGUGUUCAGCGGCAUCCCAGACACCCUCCCCUGUCCACUGUCAUCCUCCAGACAUUGUCAAGGGUCCCACGGGAGGCAGAAUCACCUGCAGUUGAGAGCUACUGCCACAAGUCCUACCCAGCUUUGAAGCGUCACUCCCACAGCUACCUACCCCACAAAGCUGCGGGUGCACCUGCUCACCAGGAGACUCCAGAACUGCACCUGCUGAUGUUCCACUGAGAUACGGAGUUCUUCCUCCAUCAACACUACUAUACACACACACACACACACACACACACACAAGUUCUUCAGAAAGUUCAUGACAAAUGAAAAUGAAAGACAAGUGUAUUUGGAUGCCGAACUUUGAAAUCUGUGCCACUGUCGUGACACCACGGGUUAAACUACUUCCUGGACAUCAGCAUCCCAUAUGGGUGCCAGUUCUAGUCCCAGCUGAUCCACUUCCAAUGCAGCUCCCUGCUAAUGUACCUGGGAAAGCAGCAGAGGAUGGCCCAAGUGCUUGGACUUCUGCACCUACAUGGGAGACCUGGAGGAAGCUCCUGGCUCCUGGCUUUGGCUUGGCCUAGUCCAGGCUGGGCAGUGAAUCAGCAGAUGGAAGAUCUCUCCCUCUCUCUUUCUGCAACUCUGCCAAAAAUAAAUAAAUAAACCUUAGAAAAAGAAAUCCUUGC